CUUUGGAACAAUUUGUUGAGGCGCAUUUAUAUUUGAAAAGCCCCUUUCUAUUCUUCAUAUAGAAAGAGUUUUGGAGUGGCGGAAGUAUUUUACCCUACUAGAAUCUCUCUGUUCUCCAGUCUCUAGAAAAUCCCAGGAACAAACUCCAUCAACUAAGAAACUCAGCAAUUGCAAGAGGAACUGACAGAGUCCAUGGCUGGAGAAAGAAAACUCUGCCCAGGCCUCCCGCAUGGAGCCGGGUGAAGAGCCGCAGGUCCCGGAUCCUCGGGGAGGCGAGAUCCCCGGAGGCGCCCGCGCAGCAGGUGCCAGGCCCGAGGCGGCGAAUCCCCGACAGGAGGGGCCUGCAGGAACAGAGCCUCACGGGACGUCCCGGAGCCCUGCGUGGGGAGACGCUAAUGGGGUGGCCCAGCAGCAGGGCGACCCAGCGGGGGAGACACGCCGAGGGGCAGGGGGCCCGGAGCUGCUUCCCAGCACCCUCGCGGGGCAGAAAUCCAACCUCUGCCCCGAGUGCGGGAAGAGCUUCGGGAACCGCACACA